CGGCACGGAUCCGAACGCGGCCUUGUUUACAUUCCCGAUGGCCGCGACGCCUCGUGAUCAUCAGCCUCUUCAGCAGCCCCUUCAUCAGCCCCUUCCCGUUCUGCUGACCUGCAAGUACCUCCUGAGCCUCGUCCUCGGCCUGGGACUCCUGCUGGCCUUGGUGCAGUCCGAGUUCGAGCUGCAGGCGUGUCUCGGGGCGCUGAGGACCUACAGCCUGGUGGUGGUGGUGUUGCAAGUGGUGUUGCAGUGGGUGGCUCCGGAGGCCUCGGCGCUGCACCCAGGAGGAGGCGGAGGAGAAGGGCUCGGCGCGGCGGGCUUCGGCAGGGGCAAGGCCAGGAACAGGGCCGGGAAGCUUGUGGAUUUCGUCUUGGUGGUGAUUCUCAGCAUCUUCAGUGUAUGCCUCACGCACAUUGUCACUGUGCUGUAUGGAGCAUAUUUGAUUGAGAAUAUUGAGGAGACUUUCACAUUCAGCAUACUAGUCGCGUCUCUAGCAUUCGUCCGACCCCUUGUUACCCUAGGCCCUGGUGCUCUCGGUCUGAUUAUUGAAAGGGCAAAUUUUGAGGAGGAACCUGUACUCCAGUCUCUGACUGCAGUUGUGGGAGCUUGGUUUGGUGCUCUGCCUAUUCCACUGGACUGGGACACUCCUUGGCAGGUUUGGCCCUUGACUUGCUGCAUCGGGGCAGUAAUUGGUGAAGUUGGAGCCUCGGCCUACUUGCUGUCUAAGAUAUACAAGGCGGUGGACUCAAGAAAGAAAAAUAAGUCUACUUAAUUUUUUUUCAGUCAGUUGGGUUAUUAUCAGUUACUAGUAAUUACAGUAAUAUCAUAGACAUCGUUUACACUUGAGAACUUAAAAUAAAAAAAAAAAUUCUUAUUUACUAAUUCCUCUGAGAUUGUUAGUAUGCUGUAAAAUCAUUUUGAUUCUUCUGCAAAGCAUUUCC